UCAUUUUUAACAAAGUUGAUUAAUUAAUUUUUAAAGAAAAAUAGAUAUUUUUCCUUUCCACGGGGCAUUUCAAAGGAAAAAAGAAUCUGAAAUACACUUUAAGAAAGGAGUUUUUUUCUCCCCAUCGUAUUCAAUUCGGCAAUCAAUGUAACUUAUAAAAGAGACUCAGACUGAAUCAAAUUCGAUGG